UCGAGAAUUUUUCACAAUGGGCGAAAGCCUGAUGGAGCGACGCCGCGUGGGGGAUGAAGGGCUUCGGUCCGUAAACCCCUGUCAUUUGCGAACAAACCUUAUUCAUUAACACUGAAUGAGCUGAUUGUAGCGGAAGAGGAAGGGACGGCUAACUCUGUGCCAGCAGCCGCGGUAAUACAGAGGUCCCGAGCGUUGUUCGGAUUCACUGGGCGUAAAGGGUGCGUAGGUGGUUGUGCAAGUCUGAUGUGAAAUCUCCGGGCUUAACCCGGAAAUGGCAUUGGAAACUGCAUGGCUAGAGGAUUGGAGGGGGGACUGGAAUACUUGGUGUAGCAGUGAAAUGCGUAGAUAUCAAGUGGAACACCAGUGGCGAAGGCGAGUCCCUGGACAAUACCUGACACUGAGGCACGAAAGCUAGGGGAGCAAACAGG
rnacentral:rRNA from 1 species